rnacentral:rRNA from 1 species
GACAGAGGGUGCAAACGUUGUUCGGAAUACUGGGCGUAAAGCGUGUGUAGGCGGCCUCAUAAGUCGGAUGUGAAAGCCCCGGGCUCAACUCGGGAAGUGCACUCGAUACUGUGAGGCUUGAGUAUCGGAGAGGUUGGUGGAAUUCUCGGGUGUAGAGGUGAAAUUCGUAGAUAUCGAGAGGAGCACCGGUGGCGAAAGCGGCCAACUGGACGAAUACUGACGCUGAGACACGAAAGCGUGGGGAGCAAAAGGG